GCAGUGCGUCUGAUCAGAUGUUGCCUGAUGAUUGGUCUUUGCCAUGAAACUCUGAGUAACAACGAAAAAGCCCUACAUUGUAUUUUACUUCCGUUUGCGUGCCUCAUGAGUAUUGUAACACUGUAUGGUGUUCUGCUGUUUAUUGUAGUUUCCAUUGCACAGGUUUAGUGAACAUGACCACGGAAAUUGGCCUCAGUGAUACGCGCACUCCUUUCGAAGCAAGAAUCACGGCUCUAAUUGAGAGGUACAAUCGCCUAGAGAAGCGACUCGCCCAGGACAGGGAGCUGAUCGUGCUCCUGUGUCUGGAGAACGAUGUCGGACAGCUGCUUGAUCGGCUAGAGACAGGAUAUCCAUCCUACGGUCUCCGGACAGGUAAAAUGAUAGCCGAAUGCACGGAGUCUCCUGAAAAGUAUCAAGCACCAGUGUGCUAUGCUCUGCAUUCAACACCGAUGGAAAAGCAUCCUGAUGAAUCUACAGCUUCGCCUUGGCCGCCACUUCCCGUACAGGAGACAUCUGUGAAGCCAGGCUACGGCUAGCAACCUGUAACACUCUCAGCAUACAUGUACAUGCACAUUGUACAUUAUCCUGGAGUGAAUGUUCAGUAUGGUAUAUUGUACAUUAUCCUGGAGUGAAUGUUCAGUAUGGUAUAUUGUACAUUAUCCUGGAGUGAAUGUUCAGUAUGGUAUAUUGUACAUUAUCCUGCAGUGAAUGUUCAGUAUGGUAUAUUGUACGAGUUACAUGUACAAUGUGCAAGUACAAAGUCAUGUUCUUGUAUACAUGUACAGUGUAUGUUCGCAGCUGAAACUUUUUAAACUUCAGUUUCUUUUCCCCUUGGCCCUUUUCCCUUUUUUGAAGACGAUUAUUAAGAUGUUUGCGUAGAUUAGUUCAGGUAUCCUUGCUGCAUCGCUAGAUUAUAGUUCACUUUAUCGGCCACAGAUCAAACGCACUGCAAGCCUCCUUCCCGCAAGCGCGAAAACACAGGCACACAUACACACAUACAUGUACACACACACACUCACACAUACACACACACACUCACACAUACACACACACACAAUCACAUCCGCUCAUGCACAAACAUGUAGACAUUUGCUCGCACAAACACACACACAUGCACGCAAACAGUCACCAUUUUUGCCUGCACAUUUUUGUGGAGUAAAUCUGGGUUAAAAAAACUCAAAAUGUUAACACAUGUUUCGGUACACGUAUCCCAAUUCAUAACAUUGUAGAACGAGGAGAAAAGAUUUUUUUGUUUGAACGUUCUAAUAUCUGCUUCGUUUAGUAAGAAAUUUGAAUCGCAAUGAUAAAACCUUUGUCAGUUUGUCUCCAAAUCCCUUAUACAUGUACAAAAUAUACAAUGUAUGUUUUCUA